AACGCUAGCUACAGGCUUAACACAUGCAAGUCGAGGGGCAGCAUCAUCAAAGCUUGCUUUGAUGGAUGGCGACCGGCGCACGGGUGAGUAACACGUAUCCAACCUGCCGACAACACUGGGAUAGCCUUUCGAAAGAAAGAUUAAUACCGGAUGGCAUAGUUUUCCCGCAUGGGAUAAUUAUUAAAGAAUUUCGGUUGUCGAUGGGGAUGCGUUCCAUUAGGCAGUUGGCGGGGUAACGGCCCACCAAACCAACGAUGGAUAGGGGUUCUGAGAGGAAGGUCCCCCACAUUGGAACUGAGACACGGUCCAAACUCCUACGGGAGGCAGCAGUGAGGAAUAUUGGUCAAUGGACGAGAGUCUGAACCAGCCAAGUAGCGUGAAGGAUGACUGCCCUAUGGGUUGUAAACUUCUUUUAUACGGGAAUAAAGUUAGCCACGUGUGGCUUUUUGUAUGUACCGUAUGAAUAAGGAUCGGCUAACUCCGUGCCAGCAGCCGCGGUAAUACGGAGGAUCCGAGCGUUAUCCGGAUUUAUUGGGUUUAAAGGGAGCGUAGGCGGGUUGUUAAGUCAGUUGUGGAAGUUUGCGGCUCAACCGUAAAAUUGCAGUUGAUACUGGCGACCUUGAGUGCAACAGAGGUAGGCGGAAUUCGUGGUGUAGCGGUGAAAUGCUUAGAUAUCACGAAGAACUGCCGAUUG
rnacentral:rRNA from 1 species